UUUCAGCUGCAGACAGAUGAACAGUGUGGAGUGGCUGUCAGCAGUGGGUAGACCACCUCCCAGGAUUGCCCAGGCCUCCAGCAGAGUUCCAGCAGCAUUGCUACAUCUGCACAAGAGUCAGCCACACCUGGAGAAGGCAUAAUUUCUGAGCCCCAGGAGUCCCGCUCAUUAUUUUGGUGGACUUUUCAGUGAAGGAUCGUACUUACCUGAAGAGCUGCACCCCCACCCUGAUGCCCAUGACCAGAUGCUGUUGCUGAGACCCAGAUGGUUUCAGAUGCUGUUACCAAGAUCCUGACAGUACCUGCCAUGUGCAAAGAAGAACAAAACAGAUAGUUGAGCCAGCAGCGCAUAUCCUGCUCAGUCCACGUCAAGAUGGUGAUGGUUUGAGCAUGUCAGUUAUGUGGAAACUCCAUGCGUUCUGGGGAGACUGCAGUGAGGGCUCUGUGAGACUGAAAACCCAGCUUGACUGGUUAUGAUCAUAACCAUAGCAACACGCCCAGAGCCUGCCUUUUCCUCCAUGCUAAAUCAAUCCUUGUUGAGUGGCUGAUUGAUCUCUGAAGCCUGCUACUCUAGCAACGACUUAUUUUUAAAAAUCUAUCUAUGCAUCCUCUACCUGUCCAUUCAUUUACUAUAUCUCUUCCUCUGUUAAAGGUGCUUUUCAUGUAUUCAUGCAUGUAAUUCUCACAUACCCUAUGCAGUUGGUACUAAGAUUAUCCAGAUUUUACUGAUAAGAAAACAGACACAGAGAGGUUAAGCAAUUUGCCGAAGGUCACACAGGUCGUGGCUUGUGGAGCUUGCAUAAAAAACCUUGUGGUAUUUUCCACACCUUGGCCUCAUUCAUUGAUUCAUUCAUUCAUUUUAACAAAGAAUGAAUGAAUUUGUUAGGAAUAAGUGGAGUAGGAUAGAUUUUCUGUUUUUGACACUUACCCUAACCUGUGAUUCCAAUCUAAGCUGAAGGCAGAAAGGUGAAGUCCCAAAGCAAUUCAACUCUGUAUGUGUAUAUGCAUAUGGCUGCACGAGUACACAAUGUAUGCCCUAUUUGGGGGGCCUGGGGAACCUGAUGCAGAGAGGUGUGGAGACCCAGUUAGAGUAACCUGAGCAUCCCAGUGAGAACUUGGCCAUGACUCUUUUUGGAAACAUAAGAAUAAGACUUUUCUGACAUUAAAAAAUUUUGUUUAUAUGUCUUG